GUGCUCGCUUCAGCAGCACAUAUACUAAAAUUGGAAUGAUACAAAGAUGAUUAGUAUGCCCCCUGCGCAAGGAUGAUGUGCAGAUUUGUGAAGUGUUCUGUGUUAGC
ensembl:snRNA U6 U6 spliceosomal RNA